rnacentral:rRNA from 1 species
GUCCUACGGGGCGCAGUAGGGAAUCUUCCACAAUGGGCGAAAGCCUGAUGGAGCAACGCCGCGUGGGUGAAGAAGGUCUUCGGAUCGUAAAACCCUGUUGUUAGAGAAGAAAGUGCGUGAGAGUAACUGUUCACGUUUCGACGGUAUCUAACCAGAAAGCCACGGCUAACUACGUGCCAGCAGCCGCGGUAAUAUGUAGGUGGCAAGCGUUAUCCGGAUUUAUUGGGCGUAAAGGGAACGCAGGCGGUCUUUUAAGCCUGAUGUGAAAGCCUUCGGCUUAACCGGAGUAGUGCAUGGGAAACUGG